rnacentral:rRNA from 1 species
AGGGCACCACCAGGAGUGGAGCCUGCGGCUUAAUUUGACUCAACACGGGAAAACUCACCCGGCCCGGACACUGGAAGGAUUGACAGAUUGAGAGCUCUUUCUUGAUUCAGUGGGUGGUGGUGCAUGGCCGUUCUUAGUUGGUGGAGCGAUUUGUCUGGUUAAUUCCGAUAACGAACGAGACUCUAGCCUACUAAAUAGAUCGUCGGCUUACAAACGCCGAUGAGACUUCUUAGAGGGACAGGCGGCGAUUCAGCCGCACGAAACAGAGCAAUAACAGGUCUGUGAUGCCCUUAGAUGUCCGGGGCCGCACGCGCGCUACACUGAAGUGAUCAGCGUGCAUUUUCAGCCUACUCUGCCAAGAGUGGGAAACCCAAUGAACCUUCUUCGUGAUUGGGAUAGGGGAUUGUAAUUAUUCCCCUUGAACGAGGAAUUCCCAGAAAGCGCGGGUAAUAAGCUAGCGUUGAUUACGUCCCUGCCCUUUGUACUAACACCCGUCACUACUACCGAUUGAAUAUUUUA